GGGUUGUGAGGUUAAGCGACUAAGCGUACACGGUGGAUGCCCUGGCAGUCAGAGGCGAUGAAGGACGUGCUAAUCUGCGAUAAGCGUCGGUAAGGUGAUAUGAACCGUUAUAACCGGCGAUUUCCGAAUGGGGAAACCCAGUGUGAUUCGUCACACUAUCAUUAACUGAAUCCAUAGGUUAAUGAGGCGAACCGGGGGAACUGAAACAUCUAAGUACCCCGAGGAAAAGAAAUCAACCGAGAUUCCCCCAGUAGCGGCGAGCGAACGGGGAGCAGCCCAGAGCCUGAAUCAGUGUGUGUGUUAGUGGAAGCGUCUGGAAAGGCGCGCGAUACAGGGUGACAGCCCCGUACACAAAAAUGCACAUACUGUGAGCUCGAUGAGUAGGGCGGGACACGUGGUAUCCUGUCUGAAUAUGGGGGGACCAUCCUCCAAGGCUAAAUACUCCUGACUGACCGAUAGUGAACCAGUACCGUGAGGGAAAGGCGAAAAGAACCCCGGCGAGGGGAGUGAAAAAGAACCUGAAACCGUGUACGUACAAGCAGUGGGAGCACGCUUAGGCGUGUGACUGCGUACCUUUUGUAUAAUGGGUCAGCGACUUAUAUUCUGUAGCAAGGUUAACCGAAUAGGGGAGCCGAAGGGAAACCGAGUCUUAACUGGGCGUUAAGUUGCAGGGUAUAGACCCGAAACCCGGUGAUCUAGCCAUGGGCAGGUUGAAGGUUGGGUAACACUAACUGGAGGACCGAACCGACUAAUGUUGAAAAAUUAGCGGAUGACUUGUGGCUGGGGGUGAAAGGCCAAUCAAACCGGGAGAUAGCUGGUUCUCCCCGAAAGCUAUUUAGGUAGCGCCUCGUGAAUUCAUCUCCGGGGGUAGAGCACUGUUUCGGCAAGGGGGUCAUCCCGACUUACCAACCCGAUGCAAACUACGAAUACCGGAGAAUGUUAUCACGGGAGACACACGGCGGGUGCUAACGUCCGUCGUGAAGAGGGAAACAACCCAGACCGCCAGCUAAGGUCCCAAAGUCAUGGUUAAGUGGGAAACGAUGUGGGAAGGCCCAGACAGCCAGGAUGUUGGCUUAGAAGCAGCCAUCAUUUAAAGAAAGCGUAAUAGCUCACUGGUCGAGUCGGCCUGCGCGGAAGAUGUAACGGGGCUAAACCAUGCACCGAAGCUGCGGCAGCGACGCUGAUGCGUUGUUGGGUAGGGGAGCGUUCUGUAAGCCUGCGAAGGUGUGCUGUGAGGCAUGCUGGAGGUAUCAGAAGUGCGAAUGCUGACAUAAGUAACGAUAAAGCGGGUGAAAAGCCCGCUCGCCGGAAGACCAAGGGUUCCUGUCCAACGUUAAUCGGGGCAGGGUGAGUCGACCCCUAAGGCGAGGCCGAAAGGCGUAGUCGAUGGGAAACAGGUUAAUAUUCCUGUACUUGGUGUUACUGCGAAGGGGGGACGGAGAAGGCUAUGUUGGCCGGGCGACGGUUGUCCCGGUUUAAGCGUGUAGGCUGGUUUUCCAGGCAAAUCCGGAAAAUCAAGGCUGAGGCGUGAUGACGAGGCACUACGGUGCUGAAGCAACAAAUGCCCUGCUUCCAGGAAAAGCCUCUAAGCAUCAGGUAACAUCAAAUCGUACCCCAAACCGACACAGGUGGUCAGGUAGAGAAUACCAAGGCGCUUGAGAGAACUCGGGUGAAGGAACUAGGCAAAAUGGUGCCGUAACUUCGGGAGAAGGCACGCUGAUAUGUAGGUGAAGUCCCUCGCGGAUGGAGCUGAAAUCAGUCGAAGAUACCAGCUGGCUGCAACUGUUUAUUAAAAACACAGCACUGUGCAAACACGAAAGUGGACGUAUACGGUGUGACGCCUGCCCGGUGCCGGAAGGUUAAUUGAUGGGGUCAGCGCAAGCGAAGCUCUUGAUCGAAGCCCCGGUAAACGGCGGCCGUAACUAUAACGGUCCUAAGGUAGCGAAAUUCCUUGUCGGGUAAGUUCCGACCUGCACGAAUGGCGUAAUGAUGGCCAGGCUGUCUCCACCCGAGACUCAGUGAAAUUGAACUCGCUGUGAAGAUGCAGUGUACCCGCGGCAAGACGGAAAGACCCCGUGAACCUUUACUAUAGCUUGACACUGAACAUUGAGCCUUGAUGUGUAGGAUAGGUGGGAGGCUUUGAAGUGUGGACGCCAGUCUGCAUGGAGCCGACCUUGAAAUACCACCCUUUAAUGUUUGAUGUUCUAACGUUGACCCGUGAUCCGGGUUGCGGACAGUGUCUGGUGGGUAGUUUGACUGGGGCGGUCUCCUCCUAAAGAGUAACGGAGGAGCACGAAGGUUGGCUAAUCCUGGUCGGACAUCAGGAGGUUAGUGCAAUGGCAUAAGCCAGCUUGACUGCGAGCGUGACGGCGCGAGCAGGUGCGAAAGCAGGUCAUAGUGAUCCGGUGGUUCUGAAUGGAAGGGCCAUCGCUCAACGGAUAAAAGGUACUCCGGGGAUAACAGGCUGAUACCGCCCAAGAGUUCAUAUCGACGGCGGUGUUUGGCACCUCGAUGUCGGCUCAUCACAUCCUGGGGCUGAAGUAGGUCCCAAGGGUAUGGCUGUUCGCCAUUUAAAGUGGUACGCGAGCUGGGUUUAGAACGUCGUGAGACAGUUCGGUCCCUAUCUGCCGUGGGCGCUGGAGAAUUGAGGGGGGCUGCUCCUAGUACGAGAGGACCGGAGUGGACGCAUCACUGGUGUUCGGGUUGUCAUGCCAAUGGCACUGCCCGGUAGCUAAAUGCGGAAGAGAUAAGUGCUGAAAGCAUCUAAGCACGAAACUUGCCCCGAGAUGAGUUCUCCCUGACUCCUUGAGAGUCCUGAAGGAACGUUGAAGACGACGACGUUGAUAGGCCGGGUGUGUAAGCGCAGCGAUGCGUUGAGCUAACCGGUACUAAUGAACCGUGAGGCUUAACCUUACAACGCCGAAGCUGUU
rnacentral:rRNA from 1 species